rnacentral:miRNA from 1 species
ACCCUCACAAAAGCACUGACU